UAGGGAAUAUUGGUCAAUGGGCGAGAGCCUGAACCAGCCAUGCCGCGUGAAGGAUGAAGGCGUUCUGCGUUGUAAACUUCUUUUAUCUGGGAAGAAAAAGCUCCUGCGGGAGUAAUUGCCGGUACCAGAUGAAUAAGCACCGGCUAACUCCGUGCCAGCAGCCGCGGUAAUACGGAGGGUGCAAGCGUUGUCCGGAUUUAUUGGGUUUAAAGGGUGCGUAGGCGGAUGAUUAAGUCAGUGGUGAAAGCCCACAGCUCAACUGUGGAACUGCCAUUGAUACUGGUUAUCUUGAGUAUAGAUGAGGCAGGCGGAAUUUACGAUGUAGCGGUGAAAUGCAUAGAUAUCGUAAAGAACACCUAUAGCGAAGGCAGCUUGCUAAACUAUAACUGACGCUGAGGCACGAAAGCAUGGGUAGCGAACAGG
rnacentral:rRNA from 1 species